rnacentral:lncRNA from 1 species
CAGUCUGCUACUCGCUGUUGUUUUUCCAGUACCUUAUAUAGUGCUUGUCAUACAAGUUUUGCAAAACUGAACUGCUUCUGGAUAUUCUGAAAUACAAGAAUAGCAAGAGAUACUAUCCAAAGAAAAGCAUGAGGAACUUCACUGAGUGCUGACACUAUGCUCUUGGACUGGCAGCCUCUGGAACUGUGUACAGAGUUUGUCCUGGGAAAAUGUAUAGAUGCCAGCUGCAGUUUUACCUUUGGAAAGAAUGCCAAAUCGGUAAUCACAACAAAGCCUCUCCAAAGGAUCGAACUCAGGUCCUUGAACUUGCACAGCAGGCCGCGAAACCACUGAACUAAAUCCCUGGCCCAGGCUGAUGACCUUGAUGUGUUCAGGACCAAGGAGGUGAUGGAGAUUUUUCCUAAUCCAGAGGGGAAAAGAAAGACUGAUUUUCUUAUCGAAAUUCCAGUGUUCACAGAUAAAUUUUUGCUCCUUCUCUUUGCCUUUCAAAUGUACUGACUCUGAUCUCUACUUACAAGGGAUAACAGGAACCCUGUAAAUUAUGAUUAUAGUAUAAAGUACCUUCAUGCACUUUGUUUCAUGUGAUGCACAAUACUGUGUAAAGUGCUCACAUUUCAGCAUAGCAAAGCAUUUGAAAUGAAAGUGAAUUUGCAUAAAAUCACAUAGGAGAGUCAGGGUUGAAUUCAGAGCUUUGUAAUGCUGUUUUAGGUAUUCAAACAAAUUUCCUCAAUUUUAACAGGCAAAGUCUUAUGUUUACCUUGUCUGUUUCUAUGUAAAACCAAACAAACAAAAUUGGUAACACCUCGAUGGCUGAAAAUUGUGUUCUUCAUCCCCCUCUGGUAUUCCUUAGAUGUAUUCUAAGUAGGUAGAAUUCCCCUGGGAGAAAAUACAUCCUAAGAAGAAUAAACUCUUAUACACCUUAUCUCACCAAAAUAGAAAUAUAUUCUCACUGGGGAAAUGAUGUUUGCAGAAAUAAGUUUUGUUUGCUUAGUUUAAAUAAUUCCCUUUAACCAGUAUCACUAUUUCCCUGAAUAACACUUGUAGUAAUUUUUUUUCCUUAGACUUUUAAAAAGUCAAUAAAAUAAUUAAUUAAAACUGACACCUUUCUCUGUCCCUCAUCUUGACAAAAUAAAAAAGAAUUUAAAACUACUAUUUAGGCAUACUUCAAGUGUGGUUUAUACACUUUAAUAGUAGCUAAUGAUCCCUACCUGAAGGCAUAUGGUACCCAUAUGUAGGAGCAAAUGGGACCUUUUCUUCUUAGAUCCAACAUUUCUUUUCAGAUAAAGGUCAGUUAAGUCAUGAUCCUAGGAACCAGCCUAGUUUUCUCUCAUUUGUCUCUUAACCAGUCAUUCAGUCCUGUCUUUUCUAGUACCUGAAUGGAAGGCACACAGUCUAGUUUUGAACUAAUAUGCCCACAACUCUGAACCUAAUGUCACUCAAGCCAGUCUCUCAUUUGGACCACUGAAACUUAACUCUAGACCUCUUGUUUGUUAUCCCCCUGCCAGAAGAGUCAAGAAAGCUCAAAUGCCUUCUGUCACACAGGUGACUAAAACUGUCAAAUAGCUUUUAGGUGCACUCUGGAUGAAGCCCACACUUCUGACUGCUACCUGUCUUCUCCAUCCUCCCUUGUCUGUAUCUUCCUCACCUCUUCCCACACAUACUCUAGCACUGAU